rnacentral:rRNA from 1 species
UAGGGAAUCUUCGGCAAUGGACGAAAGUCUGACCGAGCAACGCCGCGUGAGUGAAGAAGGUUUUCGGAUCGUAAAACUCUGUUGUUAGAGAAGAACAAGGACGUUAGUAACUGAACGUCCCCUGACGGUAUCUAACCAGAAAGCCACGGCUAACUACGUGCCAGCAGCCGCGGUAAUACGUAGGUGGCAAGCGUUGUCCGGAUUUAUUGGGCGUAAAGCGAGCGCAGGCGGUUUCUUAAGUCUGAUGUGAAAGCCCCCGGCUCAACCGGGGAGGGUCAUUGGAAACUGGGAGACUUGAGGGCAGGAGAGGAGAGUGGAAUUCCAUGUGUAGCGGUGAAAUGCGUAGAUAUAUGGAGGAACACCAGUGGCGAAGGCGGCUCUCUGGUCUGUAACUGACGCUGAGGCUCGAAAGCGUGGGGAGCAAACAGG